rnacentral:rRNA from 1 species
CGGCAGGCCUAACACAUGCAAGUCGAGCGUGAAACGAGUUAUCUGAACCUUCGGGGAACGAUAACGGCGUCGAGCGGCGGACGGGUGAGUAAUGCCUGGGAAAUUGCCCUGAUGUGGGGGAUAACCAUUGGAAACGAUGGCUAAUACCGCAUAAUAGCUUCGGCUCAAAGAGGGGGACCUUCGGGCCUCUCGCGUCAGGAUAUGCCCAGGUGGGAUUAGCUAGUUGGUGAGGUAAUGGCUCACCAAGGCGACGAUCCCUAGCUGGUCUGAGAGGAUGAUCAGCCACACUGGAACUGAGACACGGUCCAGACUCCUACGGGAGGCAGCAGUGGGGAAUAUUGCACAAUGGGCGCAAGCCUGAUGCAGCCAUGCCGCGUGUAUGAAGAAGGCCUUCGGGUUGUAAAGUACUUUCAGCAGUGAGGAAGGUGUAUGUGUUAAUAGCGCCUGUAUUUGACGUUAGCUGCAGAAGAAGCACCGGCUAACUCCGUGCCAGCAGCCGCGGUAAUACGGAGGGUGCGAGCGUUAAUCGGAAUUACUGGGCGUAAAGCGCAUGCAGGUGGUUUGUUAAGUCAGAUGUGAAAGCCCGGGGCUCAACCUCGGAAUAGCAUUUGAAACUGGCAGACUAGAGUACUGUAGAGGGGGGUAGAAUUUCAGGUGUAGCGGUGAAAUGCGUAAAGAUCUGAAGGAAUACCGG